rnacentral:rRNA from 1 species
UGGGGAAUUUUGGACAAUGGGCGAAAGCCUGAUCCAGCAAUGCCGCGUGCAGGAUGAAGGCCUUCGGGUUGUAAACUGCUUUUGUACGGAACGAAAAAGCUUCUCCUAAUACGAGAGGCCCAUGACGGUACCGUAAGAAUAAGCACCGGCUAACUACGUGUCAGCAGCCGCGGUAAUACGUAGGGUGCGAGCGUUAAUCGGAAUUACUGGGCGUAAAGCGUGCGCAGGCGGUUAUGUAAGUCAGAUGUGAAAUCCCCGGGCUCAACCUGGGAACUGCAUUUGUGACUGAAUGGCUAGAGUACGGUAGAGGGGGAUGGAAUUCCGCGUGUAGCAGUGAAAUGCGUAGAUAUGCGGAGGAACACCGAUGGAGAAGGCAAUCCCCUGGACCUGUACUGACGCUCAUGCACGAAAGCGUGGGAGCAAACA